GCGAGUCUGCGCAUUACAACACAAGGCAAGUUGACAGUCAGUAGGCACAGUGAACAGACUACUUAAAGCAGAAGAGAGAUUUUAACAUCACAGUCUUGUUCAUCUGCUUCAUACCUGCUGACAUACCUGCUUGUUCUUCUGAAUGUUGAACACGUUUUGUUCUCUCGGUCCGGCAGCUUAUUGCAUCAUCGAAGAGACCAACACCAACGCCAUCUCGAUCGGCAAGAAGUCAACAAAACUUCGAUCAGAAAAAAAAAGAUAUAUAAAUCUACAUGUCUUUUAGAAACUUCCUCUUAAUCUCGGUGGUCGUCCUGGCUACUUUGUCCUGUGCAAGAACACAAAUGCACAGUAAUCCAUCGUCUUCUGUUCCGUCAUGAGGCAGCCAUAAAGAGCGUCCCCAGUGACCCCACAUAACAGCUGAGGCGACAGGGAGCCCUUUCCUCUACGCGCUGAAUGGCAAGGCCCAUAGCAGGGUUCUUCGAAGUACGGGUCAUGUUCAUGUGG